rnacentral:rRNA from 1 species
UACGGGGGGGGCUAGCGUUGUUCGGAAUUACUGGGCGUAAAGGGCUCGUAGGCUGCCAACUAAGUCAGACGUGAAAUCCCUCGGCUUAACCGGGGAACUGCGUCUGAUACUGGAUGGCUUGAGAUCGGGAGAGGGAUGCGGAAUUCCAGGUGUAGCGGUGAAAUGCGUAGAUAUCUGGAGGAACACCGGUGGCGAAGGCGGCAUCCUGGACCGACACUGACGCUGAGGAGCGAAAGCCAGGGGAGCAAACGGG